rnacentral:rRNA from 1 species
GAUGAACGCUGGCGGCGUGCCUCAAACAUGCAAGUCGAGCGAGGCUAUGAAUUACCGCAAGGUAAGGCAUAGCCUAGCGGCGAACGGGUGAGUAACACGUGGAUAAUCUACCUGCAACACCGGGAUAACGCUGUGAAAACGGUGCUAAUACCGGAUACGUUCCCUUGUGCGCAUGUAUGAGGGAAGAAAGCUCAGGCGGUUGCAGAUGAGUCCGCGGCUGAUUAGCUAGUUGGCGAGGUAAAGGCUCACCAAGGCGAUGAUCAGUAGCCGGCCUGAGAGGGUGAACGGCCACACUGGGACUGAGACACGGCCCAGACUCCUACGGGAGGCAGCAGUGGGGAAUCUUCCGCAAUGGGCGCAAGCCUGACGGAGCAACGCCGCGUGGGUGAAGAAGGCCUUCGGGUUGUAAAGCCCUGUCUUAUGGGAAGAAGUCAGUGACGGUACCAUAGGAGGAAGCCACGGCUAACUACGUG